ACCAGUACCGUGAGGGAAAGGCGAAAAGAACCCCGGCGAGGGGAGUGAAAAAGAACCUGAAACCGUGUACGUACAAGCAGUGGGAGCCUCUUUUAUGGGGUGACUGCGUACCUUUUGUAUAAUGGGUCAGCGACUUAUAUUCUGUAGCAAGGUUAACCGAAUAGGGGAGCCGAAGGGAAACCGAGUCUUAACUGGGCGUUAAGUUGCAGGGUAUAGACCCGAAACCCGGUGAUCUAGCCAUGGGCAGGUUGAAGGUUGGGUAACACUAACUGGAGGACCGAACCGACUAAUGUUGAAAAAUUAGCGGAUGACUUGUGGCUGGGGGUGAAAGGCCAAUCAAACCGGGAGAUAGCUGGUUCUCCCCGAAAGCUAUUUAGGUAGCGCCUCGUGAAUUCAUCUCCGGGGGUAGAGCACUGUUUCGGCAAGGGGGUCAUCCCGACUUACCAACCCGAUGCAAACUGCGAAUACCGGAGAAUGUUAUCACGGGAGACACACGGCGGGUGCUAACGUCCGUCGUGAAGAGGGAAACAACCCAGACCGCCAGCUAAGGUCCCAAAGUCAUGGUUAAGUGGGAAACGAUGUGGGAAGGCCCAGACAGCCAGGAUGUUGGCUUAGAAGCAGCCAUCAUUUAAAGAAAGCGUAAUAGCUCACUGGUCGAGUCGGCCUGCGCGGAAGAUGUAACGGGGCUAAA
rnacentral:rRNA from 1 species